UUUCUUUCUCAGUAACAAAAAAAAAACCUCUCUUCCUCGCAAAGUUGUUUCUCUUCUCCGAUCACCCUCCGCCUCUUCCGCGUCGUCGCCGCUGGAGUUCCCCUCUCUACCCUUUCUUCGCCGUCGGCGUCUCCCCCUCUCUACACUUUCUUCUUUGACGGGGAUAAUAAUGAUGGUUGUCGUGUUUUGGCGCCCGAGUUGGGAGUAGUGGUACAGAUAUGAGCGUUUUGAUGUCGGAGUUGGGGUGGCGGCGUAGAUUCGA
rnacentral:lncRNA from 1 species